rnacentral:rRNA from 1 species
CACGUAGGCGGACUUUUAAGUCAGGGGUGAAAUCCCGGGGCUCAACCCCGGAACUGCCUUUGAUACUGGAAGUCUUGAGUAUGGAAGAGGUGAGUGGAAUUGCGAGUGUAGAGGUGAAAUUCGUAGAUAUUCGCAGGAACACCAGUGGCGAAGGCGGCUCACUGGUCCAUUACUGACGCUGAGGUGCGAAAGCGUGGGGAGCAAACA